rnacentral:snRNA from 1 species
UGGAUUGUUCACCCACCAAUAGGGA